GACCUCAAGUCAUGUGAGAGUACCCGCUGAACUUAAGCAUAUCAAUAAGCGGAGGAAAAGAAACUAACAAGGAUUCCCCUAGUAACGGCGAGUGAAGCGGGAAGAGUACAAAUUUAAAAUCUACCUGGUUUCCAGGUCGAGUUGUAAUUUGAAGAUACGUUUUUGACGUUUCUGGUUGGACUAAAUCCUUUGGGAUAAGGUAUCAUGGAGGGUGAGAAUCCCGUAUAUACCAACCUAGGGAUGUUAUUUAAUACGUUUCUAAGAGUCGAGUUGUUUGGAAAUGCAGCUCUAAAUGGGUGGUAAAUUUCACCUAAUGCUAAAUAUAAGCGAGAGACCGAUAGCGAACAAGUACAGUGAUGGAAAGAUGAAAAGAACUUUGAAAAGAGAGUUAAAUAGUACGUGAAAUUGUUGAAAGGGAAACGAUUGAAGUCAGUCAUGCCUGUGGGAAUCAACUUAGGGGAAACUCUAAGUGCACUUCUUCGCUUGGCAGGUCAACGUCGAUUUUGGAUGUCAUAAAAUGAUUGGGGGAAGGUAGCUCCUUCGGGAGUGUUAUAGCCCUUGGUAGAUGUGAUGUCUGGGAUCGAGGAUUGCAAUGGAUACCCUUUGGAGCUAGCCGUCUGAUCUCUAAUUGGUAUUGGGUUACGGAUAGCAUGCUGACCGUGAUUUAAUUAUUGGUUAAAAGGUUAGAGUGCACAUAAAUUCGUUAAGGACACUGACGUAAUGGCUUUAAACGACCCGUCUUGAAACACGGACCAAGGAGUCUAACAUGUAUGCGAGUGUU
rnacentral:rRNA from 1 species